CGCAGAGCAGGCUGAGACAUGUGGUUUUCACAGUCGUGGAUAUAUUUCUCCUCCAACCAUCUACCUUCGUGUUGCUUCCUUUUCAAAUUCGAGCCCUAUAUGGGAAGUGAAUCUUUUCAGUCCAAGACAGAAGAGAAUGUGAUUCAAAUCCUGACAGGCCUGAAGUCCAGCAAUGAAAUGAAAGCACUGUGGAAAUAUGACACAUUCUACAAGAAGAGUGCUUCAGCUGUUUGUUGGUGUCCUGGGAGUGAGAGGUGAGGCCGAUCUGGAGUGAGCAGAGGAAAUCCAUUUCUUUCUUCCAUCUGUUCAGGCAGCAGAGCGCUGUGGAAGCUGCGCUGUAGAUCUCCUAACAGAACAGGGCAGGAGCUCCGAACAGGAGCGUGCUCGAAAUCCAUCAUCCACAAACCUUUUCUGAAGUUUUUCAAAUCGUGUUUCCAAGCCUUUUAACAAGAUGUUGCAUUUGGCAUUUGACACCCAUUGAUUUGGAAUUACCUCUUUUGUUUCUUCCGUGUCUUGGCUCAGAACAACAGCCAACGUGCUUCACAGGGGGAGAGUGACAAAGGGUGAACAUGCUUCUAUAACCUACCCUUCCUCCUGGGCCGCACAGCAAGCUCCACACCUCCAUUUCAGACACAAAGCAGCUGGAGGAGCACACACUUUUCCUAAAGGCCAAUUAACCCACCAGCAUGUCUUUGGACUGUGGGAGGAAACCAUAAAACCCAGGAAACUCACACAAACAC